rnacentral:rRNA from 1 species
UAGAUACCCUAUUAUAUUAGGUGUUAAUUCUUUACCUGGGUAGUAUUUGUUAUGUUCUUGAAACCCAAAGAAUUUGGCGGUAUUUUAUUCUUUCCAGAGGAACCUGUUUUUUAAUUGAUAGUCCACGAUUUUAUGUACUUAUUCUUGUAUUCCAGUUUUUAUACCUCCGUCAUAAGAAUAUUUUUUUAGAAUUAAUUUUCUUAAUUAUUUUAUCUAUUUAAAUGUCAGGUCAAGGUGAAGCUAAUGCUUAAGUAAUAAUGGGUUACAAUAAAUUUAUUUAUACGGAGAAUUAAUUGUAUAAUUGGUUUGAAGGUGGAUUUGGUAGUAAAUUGAUUAAUUAGAUUUUUUGAUUUUAGCUCUAAAAUAUGU